UACAGGGGGGGCAAGCGUUGUUCGGAAUUACUGGGCGUAAAGGGCUCGUAGGCGGCCAACUAAGUCCGACGUGAAAUCCCAAAGCUUAACUUUGGAACUGCGUCGGAUACUGGAUGGCUUGAAUUCGGGAGAGGGAUGCGGAAUUCCAGGUGUAGCGGUGAAAUGCGUAGAUAUCUGGAGGAACACCGGUGGCGAAGGCGGCAUCCUGGACCGAUACUGACGCUGAGGAGCGAAAGCCAGGGGAGCAAACGGG
rnacentral:rRNA from 1 species